rnacentral:rRNA from 1 species
CCGGUGGCUGCAGUGGGGAAUAUUGCACAAUGGGGGAAACCCUGAUGCAGCAACGCCGCGUGAGUGAAGAAGUAUUUCGGUAUGUAAAGCUCUAUCAGCAGGGAAGAGAAUGACGGUACCUGACUAAGAAGCCCCGGCUAACUACGUGCCAGCAGCCGCGGUAAUACGUAGGGGGCGAGCGUUAUCCGGAUUUACUGGGUGUAAAGGGAGCGUAGACGGUUCUGCAAGUCUGAAGUGAAAGCCCGUGGCUUAACCGCGGAACGGCUUUGGAAACUGUGGAACUGGAGUGCUGGAGAGGCAAGCGGAAUUCCUAGUGUAGCGGUGAAAUGCGUAGAUAUUAGGAGGAACACCAGUGGCGAAGGCGGCUUGCUGGACAGUAACUGACGUUGAGGCUCGAAAGCGUGGGGAGCAAACAGGAUUAGAUACCCCAGUAGUC